GGAUGACCUUUGGGUCAUGGGUCGAUAAUGCUUGAGACUUAAGACCUAAUAACUCCAAUUAUUCAGACAAUUCAUAGUGUAAUUCUUUAAUAUUUACAACAAUAUCCUUGCAGUAAGUAGACAUAUUGAGUAUUUCAUGUAAUUGUGAGUCAUGUAAGUAAAUACUAUUUCCAUGAUGAUACCUUUUAUCUGUGUCGGUAAAUCAGUGAUGAUUAAAGAUAUGGACUGAUGGAAAAAAAGAUAAUACAUGGGCAAACCGUUGAUAUUUAGAACUGCAAAACGAAAAAACUCAAGAUUAUUUAUUAAUUAAACAAAGAAAUUGAUUAGCUUGACUAGAUUUUACAAAGGUUGUAGAAACUAGAUGGUAACCAGUUUCUGCAAUCAGAACUUUAAUGUAAACAGGUGCAUGUGAUUAACUUAGCAGUCUAUAUCAUAGUGCUCUGUAGCCUGCACAGCUAACCCAAGGAGCUACAGCAGUGUUGCCCCAUCUUUAAGGUCCUGUUUAUUGGUUCAUAGCCACAAGCAAACCAGGACUAUUGGUGCGUUCCAGAGCCCAUCCAAAGCAAUGGGAUGUGGGACUUAUCCUACCUGAACUGUACUAGCUCCUUGGUGAUAGGUCGAUCACCCCCCAGUUCGCUAGUAUGAGGUUCCACUUCGACGGUGGGAUGUUCCACUUCGACAGGCAUUCCAGUGCACUUUUCUUAUUUGGAGGUAGGAUAAGUCCCACGGCCCACAGGUUUGUAUGGGCUCUGGAACGCACCAUAAUCCCUUAUCGUGCGUUCACACCAAAAACAAAGUCUGAGUUUGCUCGCGCGAGUAGAAAAAUUGUACUCGCUCGAGUGAUUUGCAUGAGUUGGAUUUACUUGCCUUAGUGUAAUAGGAGGGACUUCCUCUUAUGACCAAUUACGUUUUAUUUCGGCAAUUAAAUCACAACCAUGGCCAAGAUAAUAAACCACUAUGAGCAUUUACUUAACGUUCUGGAAGUACAAGAGACGUCGGAGAACCUGACGCAGUCGUUUAAGAUUCAUAAUAUCAUCCGCUUUUGACCGUGAUAUUAUAUAAUAUAUCACAUAGAUAUAGAGCAACGGGAGUCGCAAACAGCAACAAUAACUUUCUCCUCCAUGCUGCGGUUCACUCUGGACCUCAGCUCAGGGAGUGAACGCUGAUUGGCUGUGACGAGACGACCCAGCAUCAGGCGAAAUACGCGGAAAAGUUUAAAUAUUUCCACUCGAGCGAAGGGUUCUCGCGAGUAGAAUCACGCAAAAUCAGUGUGAACCUGGGUGUUUGAGCUGCACCUUGCAUCAAUCCGCACAUUUUCGGGUGAAAAGUUUGCCUCUGUGAACGCGUCUUUAGGGAAGCAGAUGCAUGUUGAGUUUGUGACGGCUGAAUGAAAAGCCCCUAAAAACGCAGGAUGUAAGCAAAAAGUGAGGCAACCGCGGAGUUAGAUGUGAGUAUAAAGCGAAAGACCAAACGAAAACGAAGUAAACACACAGCGCACGGUUGUGUCCCAAAGUGCCUGUCUACAAUUAGGACCGCACGUUUUGCGACACACAAUACGUUACAGUCAAAAGAAGUGUGGAUGAUAAAUACACACAAAUCCAUAUAUUACUCUUGUAAACUAUCUAACCUUUUUUCUCAUUAUCUUUGUGCAACGUUCGACAACGACGUACAACAACACAUUUUGGCAGCGGUAAGUGACUGUUGGUCUUAAUGUGAGCACGUUGAAAGGAUCCCCAACACUAGGUGGUGCUGUCGUUCUCCAGGGACCGUCAACAGUUGGUUGGCAAAGAGGAGAGAAUGCGAGGUCAAAAUGCACCCUUUAGAAAAAUACAUUUCGAGGAAAUCAUGUAGAAAAGAAAAUCUAAAAAAUAAAUACAAUUCCUU
ensembl:lncRNA